GAGGAUUUCGGCUUGCUUCACACUGUCGCGGCCUGCACCUUUCAAG
rnacentral:sRNA from 1 species